rnacentral:rRNA from 1 species
AGAGACAGCAGUAGCCGCGGUAAUACGGAGGGUGCAAGCGUUAAUCGGAAUUACUGGGCGUAAAGCGCACGCAGGCGGUCUGACAAGUCAGAUGUGAAAUCCCCGGGCUUAACCUGGGAACUGCAUUUGAAACUGUCAGGCUGGAGUCUUGUAGAGGGGGGUGGAAUUCCAGGUGUAGCGGUGAAAUGCGUAGAGAUCUGGAGGAAUACCGGUGGCGAAGGCGGCCCCCUGGACAAAGACUGACGCUCAGGUGCGAAAGCGUGGGGAGCAAACAGGAUUAGAUACCCGCGUAGUCCCUGUCUCUUAUAC